rnacentral:pre_miRNA from 1 species
AUACAAGUCACCUGGGGAUCUUGUUAAAAGGCAGAUUCUGAUUCACUAUGCCCUGGGUGGAGUCUGAGAUUCUGCAGUUUUAACAGGUUCCCCGAGGCAGCAGA